rnacentral:rRNA from 1 species
CCUACGGGAGGCAGCAGUAAGGAAUAUUGGUCAAUGGACGAAAGUCUGAACCAGCCAUGCCGCGUGAAGGAUUAAGGUCCUCCGGAUUGUAAACUUCUUUUGUAUGGGACGAAAAAAGGUCUUUCUAGAUCACUUGACGGUACCAUAUGAAUAAGCACCGGCUAACUCCGUGCCAGCAGCCGCGGUAAUA